rnacentral:rRNA from 1 species
GCUAAAAACCUAGCCUAAUAAACAGAAAUUUAACUAAACUAAUUUACUCCUACCUAAUAAACCAUUUUUACAUCUUAGUAAAGGAGAUUGAAAAGAAUUAUAAGAGCAAUAACAAUAGUACCGCAAGGGAAUGACGAAAUAUAUAAUGAAAACUUAAGCAAUAAAAAGUAAAGAUAUCUCCUUGUACCUUUUGCAUCAUGGUUUAACUAGUUUAACCAAGCAAAACGCAUUUAAGUUUGACUUCCCGAAACUAAGUGAGCUACUUCAGGACAGCUAAAAGAGCAAACCCGUCUCUGUAGCAAAAGAGUGGGACGAUCCUCAAGUAGCGGUGAUAAACCUAACGAACUUAGUGAUAGCUGGUUACUCAAGAAAUGGACUUUAGUCCAACCUGAAAUCAUAAUUAGUUUACCAAAACAAUACUUGACUUUCAACGUCAUUCAAAUAAGGUACAGCCUAUUUGAAACAGGGCACAACCUAAACCAGUGGAUAAGACCAGCCCACCUUACAUUUAAGUAGGCCUAAAAGCAGCCAUCUUUAAAAUUGCGUCAAAGCUUAAUUGUUAUAACGCCUAAUUACCCAACUAUAAUCUUAAUCCCCCAACAAUACUGAGUACUUCUAUAACACUAUAGAAAAUUUUAUGUUAAAACUAGUAACAAGAAGAAGACACUUCUCUUAAAUGUACCUAUAAAUCAGAAAGGACUAACCACUGAUAUUUAACAUACGAGUAAAAAGUAGUAACUAACCAAGAAAACUCUUCUCUUACCACUGUUAACCUAACACAAGAACAUUAUAAGAAAGAUUAAAAAAACAAGAAGGAACUCGGCAAAUAUCUAACCCCGCCUGUUUACCAAAAACAUCGCCUCUUGACUCUAAUAAGAGGUCCAGCCUGCCCAGUGACUUUGUUCAACGGCCGCGGUAUCCUAACCGUGCGAAGGUAGCGUAAUAACUUGUCCUUUAAAUAAGGACUAGUAUGAAUGGCAUCACGAAGGUUAUACUGUCUCCUUUUUUUAAUCAGUUAAACUAAUCUCCUCGUGAAGAAGCGAGGAUAAAAAUAUAAGACGAGAAGACCCUAUGGAGCUUCAAACAAGAUGGCACUAUUACAUAUAAUUUCUAUACUUAAAUUUUCUUAAUAAUAUGACCAUAAGUUUUUGGUUGGGGUGACCACGGGGUAUAAUAAAACCCCCAUGUUGAAAUCUUAAGCCAAGAACAACAUUUCUAAGCAUCAACAUUUUGACAUUCAUUGACCCAAUAUAAUUGAACAACGAACCAAGUUACCCUAGGGAUAACAGCGCAAUCCACUUCAAGAGCCCCUAUCGACAAGUGGGUUUACGACCUCGAUGUUGGAUCAGGAUUUCCCAGUGGUGCAGCCGCUACUA